CACCCAAGGCACCAUUCAAUGAUGCUAGGACAGAAGAAUUCAGUGAAUCUAUGAGAUUGGUUACUCCAUCUGUCACGAUCCAUGCAUAUCCUUUGUUCAUCAUCCCUACUUCUUUUGCCUUUAUGAAGAAGGGGGAGGCCAAGGGAACACGGGCAUCGACUUCCUGCAGGGCAUCAACUAGGAAUGGCAUGAUUCCUCUACCGUAGUCAGUGUCUUCAUAGAUAGGCACCACCUUUCUCCACCCAUAGGUUUUAACUAUGGAGGCAAUGGAAUUCACCUGUGCUGAGUCAUUCAUUGUUGCUCGCACAAAAUAUGGAAGACUUUUAGAUGAUAGAGAUGGGCUUGUUGCCGUGAACGAUAUGACUGGGACAUGGCUUUUAUUUCCAAGUUUUGAGAUAAAUAUAGCCUGUGAAGAUUUCUGAGGACCAAUGAUGGCUUCUACAUUGUAAUUUUCCAGCAGGUCAACAGCUGUAUAUUACAUAUGAAGAUAAAAUUUAGUCAAAAAUCUUACAUUAAAGGAAAUUCAUAAUAUGCAAGUCACAAAUAAGUGAAUACAGUUAUUUGACAUGAAACCUGGUAAUAUAACGUGUAAGACAGUGCCACAAGCCAACAACAGAAGAAACGAGUCUCCAAGUUGCACUCAUGCAAAAAGUUGCAGAUGCAAUCCAAAUGUUGGGGUGGUGUGAUUUCAGAGAUGUUGCCAUGUACAAUGUAUAGAAGAGCGAAUUAGGUGAUAACUACAGAAUAGUUAUCUGAUUCGAAACUAGGAUAAUUUAUCAUGCACAUAUUGUAUUGCUUCAUCUUGAUGGCUCCGAAAUAUCAGUUCCUCAUGCACAUAAUGAAUUGUUUAUUACUGUGUCUGUGAUCACGUGAAGGGUAUAUUAUGGAACAGAUGCUGCUUGAUACAACAAAAUAGUACAGCAAGCAAUUAUGCAACUUAAACAUGGACAGUUGUUCUGUUGUUUUUUGUCCAAACCAUUAAAAUAGUUGCUACAUCUACUCCUUAUGUAGUUUGCAGGUAGUCACAUUUUUCCUAGUUUCUGCAUUAAUUAUAUUGGCUCAUUUUUUUGUUGGUAGAUAUCACCAUUACUAGUAUCAGUUUUAUGGUUAAUUCUCUUGAAGUCUAUAUCUCAGUCUCGGAAACCACAUCAAAGAGUGUGCCAUUUGUUUUGCUGUUCUCCAUUUAUCAAUAUCCACUUUACCCAGUUUUGGCAACCUGCAGGAAUUAAGCCAGGGUUUUACUCCUUUCAGUUGAGGCUGGAACAUUCAACAAUAUGCUUAUUGCCACAGCAGCAAAACUGGCACUUGUGUUACUGAUGCAACCCCCGGUGAAGAAAAAGGCAGUAACUUUCCCACUGUUAUCUUGGGAACAAUUUGUUGUGAAAAUGUCAAUUUCAGUUACGUAGUAAUGUUAUAUGAUGCUCAUUGGCUUCCUAAUUCUACUACUCCCUCCGUUCCUUCUCAUAAGAUGUUCUAGUUUUGUCCUAAAUCAAAUUUCUUAAAGUUUGAACAAGUUUAUAGAAAAGUCUACCAACAUCUAUAACUUAAAUUUGUUUUAUCAAAUCCGUCAAAAUAUAUAUCUUCAUAGUAUAAUUUGAUAUUAUAGCUACUAGUAUAUUUUUCUAUAGACUUUAUCAAAAUUUAAGAUGUUUGACUUGGGACAAAGCUAGAACGUCUUGCAAAAAGAAAUGGGGGGAGUAGUUGGACUUGGUAGUGCACUUGUUAUUAAAUGGGUCAUCUUUGAUUUUCUGCUAAAAUUGGGAGUUCCUUUAUUUCAAGGUAGAGCUCUUCUGCUUGGUUCACCCAUAACCACUUGCACUAACCCACCCAACGAGGCAACGACUGAGGCUUGGUUCCUAAGAUGCAGAGUUGAUGAAUGAAGUUCGGGAGUUCUUAACCAUUCUAUUUCAGCAUAAUAAGGUAUGCAGUGAACUCAUAUCAAAAGUCCAGAACAUUUACCUUGA